rnacentral:rRNA from 1 species
AUUGAACGCUGGCGGCAGGCCUAACACAUGCAAGUCGAGCGGUAGAGAGAAGCUUGCUUCUCUUGAGAGCGGCGGACGGGUGAGUAAUGCCUAGGAAUCUGCCUGGUAGUGGGGGAUAACGCUCGGAAACGGACGCUAAUACCGCAUACGUCCUACGGGAGAAAGCAGGGGACCUUCGGACCUCUCGCUAUCAGAUGAGC